CUACAAUGAUGGCAAUAUUUUUUUUGUUAACAGCAGUUCCCCUAGUGAGUGUUGAUACUUUGGGUCUGAGUGA